AGCUUGCUUUUGAUGGGCGUCGACCGGCGCACGGGUGAGUAACGCGUAUCCAACCUGCCCACCACUUGGGGAUAACCUUGCGAAGGUAAGACUAAUACCCAAUGAUAUCUCUAGAAGACAUCUGAAAGAGAUUAAAGAUUUAUCGGUGAUGGAUGGGGAUGCGUCUGAUUAGCUUGUUGGCGGGGUAACGGCCCACCAAGGCAACGAUCAGUAGGGGUUCUGAGAGGAAGGUCCCCCACAUUGGAACUGAGACACGGUCCAAACUCCUACGGGAGGCAGCAGUGAGGAAUAUUGGUCAAUGGACGAGAGUCUGAACCAGCCAAGUAGCGUGCAGGAUGACGGCCCUAUGGGUUGUAAACUGCUUUUAUAAGGGAAUAAAGUGAGUCUCGUGAGAUUUUUUGCAUGUACCUUAUGAAUAAGGACCGGCUAAUUCCGUGCCAGCAGCCGCGGUAAUACGGAAGGUCCGGGCGUUAUCCGGAUUUAUUGGGUUUAAAGGGAGCGUAGGCCGGAGAUUAAGCGUGUUGUGAAAUGUAGAUGCUCAACAUCUGCACUGCAGCGCGAACUGGUUUCCUUGAGUACGCACAAAGUGGGCGGAAUUCGUGGUGUAGCGGUGAAAUGCUUAGAUAUCACGAAGAACU
rnacentral:rRNA from 1 species